rnacentral:rRNA from 1 species
AUGGCAGUGAGAGGGAAGAAGACGACGAUGAAGAAGACGAGGACGGUUAUGGUGAUGAUGUUGGGGGAUCCAAUGGAGGUAGCGACAGCAGCGAUGAUGACGAUGAUGACAACGCCCCUGGUUCUGGUGGAUUUGCCGAAGUCAAAGAAAAAUGACAAAGCAGAGUCUCAGGACAGCAUUGAUAUGUUCAAACUCUGCAACUUGAAGCCAGCUUUGGCAACCACCUUUCCUGUUCCAGAUUUUAGCGACCAAGAUAUGUGUGAGAAGAUCAACUUUGCCAUUGACAAGAGCCUGUUCUUAUAA